rnacentral:rRNA from 1 species
AUUGAACGCUGGCGGCAUGCUUUACACAUGCAAGUCGAACGGUAACAGGCCUUCGGGUGCUGACGAGUGGCGAACGGGUGCGUAAUGCAUCGGAACGUGCCCAGAGGUGGGGGAUAACGCAGCGAAAGCUGUGCUAAUACCGCAUGUGAUCUGAGGAUGAAAGCGGGGGACCAAGCAGCAAUGUUUGGCCUCGCGCCUCUGGAGCGGCCGAUGUCAGAUUAGGUAGUUGGUGGGGUAAAGGCCUACCAAGCCGACGAUCUGUAGCUGGUCUGAGAGGACGACCAGCCACACUGGGACUGAGACACGGCCCAGACUCCUACGGGAGGCAGCAGUGGGGAAUUUUGGACAAUGGGCGCAAGCCUGAUCCAGCAAUGCCGCGUGCGGGAAGGAGGCCUUCGGGUUGUAAACCGCUUUUGUACGGAACGAAAAGGCUCUGGCUAAUACCUGGGGCUGAUGACGGUACCGUAAGAAUAAGCACCGGCUAACUACGUG